ACGCACGCUGGCGGCGUGCUUAACACAUGCCAGUCGAACGGAAAGGCCCUGCUUUUGUGGGGUGCUCGAGUGGCGAACGGGUGAGUAACACGUGAGUAACCUGCCCUUGACUUUGGGAUAACUUCAGGAAACUGGGGCUAAUACCGGAUAGGAGCUCCUGCUGCAUGGUGGGGGUUGGAAAGUUUCGGCGGUUGGGGAUGGACUCGCGGCUUAUCAGCUUGUUGGUGGGGUAGUGGCUUACCAAGGCUUUGACGGGUAGCCGGCCUGAGAGGGUGACCGGCCACAUUGGGACUGAGAUACGGCCCAGACUCCUACGGGAGGCAGCAGUGGGGAAUAUUGCACAAUGGGCGGAAGCCUGAUGCAGCAACGCCGCGUGCGGGAUGACGGCCUUCGGGUUGUAAACCGCUUUCGCCUGUGGCGAAGCGUGAGUGACGGUAAUGGGUAAAGAAGCACCGGCUAACUACGUG
rnacentral:rRNA from 1 species